UAGCAUAUCAAUAAGCGGAGGAAAAGAAACCAACAGGGAUUGCCCUAGUAACGGCGAGUGAAGCGGCAACAGCUCAAAUUUGAAAUCUGGCUUCGGCCCGAGUUGUAAUUUGCAGAGGAUGCUUCUGGCGCGGUGCCUUCCGAGUUCCCUGGAACGGGACGCCACAGAGGGUGAGAGCCCCGUAUGGUCGGACACCAAGCCUGUGUGAAGCUCCUUCGACGAGUCGAGUAGUUUGGGAAUGCUGCUCUAAAUGGGAGGUAAAUCUCUUCUAAAGCUAAAUACCGGCCAGAGACCGAUAGCGCACAAGUAGAGUGAUCGAAAGAUGAAAAGCACCUUGAAAAGGGGGUUAAAUAGUACGUGAAAUUGUUGAAAGGGAAGCACUUAUGACCAGACUUGGGCCGGGCGGCUCAUCAGGGGUUCUCCCCUGUGCAUUCCGCCCGGCACAGGCCAGCAUCGGUUUUCGCGGGGGGAUAAGACCGGCGGGAACGUAGCACCCUCCGGGGUGUGUUAUAGCCCACCGGACGAUACCCUCGCGGGGACCGAGGUCCGCGCUCCGCAAGGAUGCUGGCGUAAUGGUCAUCAGUGACCCGUCUUGAAACACGGACCAAGGAGUCGUCCAUUAGAGCGAGCGUUUGGGUGUAAAACCCGCACGCGUAAUGAAAGUGAACGCAGGUGAGAGCUUCGGCGCAUCAUCGACCGAUCCUGAUGUUCUCGGAAGGAUUUGAGUAAGAGUUUUAACGGACGGACCCGAAAGACAGUGAACUAUGCUUGUAUAGGGUGAAGCCAGAGGAAACUCUGGUGGAGGCUCGCAGCGGUUCUGACGUGCAAAUCGAUCGUCAAAUAUGAGCAUGGGGGCGAAAGACUAAUCGAACUGUCUAGUAGCUGGUUACCGC
rnacentral:rRNA from 1 species